ensembl:lncRNA
CAGAAGUGUUUAUUUCUUAAGCUUUUAGAUGCUAUGAACAAGAAAGAACAAAGUCCUGCUUCUGACUUAUGAACUUACAAAGUUUGCUAUCCUAUACUUGUUUUCUGCUCCAUCAAAUCUCUUAACCAUGCUCCAGAAUUGACAGCGUUUGAUUCUUUCCUGAAAACAAGUCAUAGGAAGACACAACAGUAAAAUCCCAGGGGUGUCCAAGGUUUAAUUCAGUCUCAGUUUGAGAAGUCUGCCUAAAAGCCCGUGCACCAGGAUGCUUGUGAUGACAUGAGCCCCCAUAAAAGUCUGUGAACGUUUCAGCUGAGGACAGUGCCUUGAAGUGAGGGUCUGUGCCCCGUGGUGAUGGCAGAGGAAUGCCGAUGAGAAGCUGGAAGUCCUCAUUGUCAGCCUGCCACCGACUCUCCGCGUGACUUUGGAAUUAAAC